ACCGCGGUUAUACGAGAGGCCCAAGUUGACCCGCACUCGGCGUAAAGAGUGGUUAGAGGAGAUAUAAACUAAAGCCAAAUGCUUUCUUAACUGUUAUACGUUCUCGAGAGUAAGAAGCCCCACUACGAAAGUGACUUUACUUACCUUGACCCCACGAAAACUAUGGC
rnacentral:rRNA from 1 species